CCUACGGGUGGCUGCAGUGGGGAAUAUUGGACAAUGGGCGAAAGCCUGAUCCAGCCAUGCCGCGUGUGUGAAGAAGGCCUUCGGGUUGUAAAGCACUUUCAGUGGGGAAGAAAGCCUUGGGGCUAAUACCCUCGAGGAAGGACAUCACCCACAGAAGAAGCACCGGCUAACUCCGUGCCAGCAGCCGCGGUAAUACGGAGGGUGCGAGCGUUAAUCGGAAUUACUGGGCGUAAAGCGCGCGUAGGCGGUCUGAUAAGCCGGUUGUGAAAGCCCCGGGCUCAACCUGGGAACGGCAUCCGGAACUGUUAGGCUAGAGUGCAGGAGAGGAAGGUAGAAUUCCCGGUGUAGCGGUGAAAUGCGUAGAGAUCGGGAGGAAUACCAGUGGCGAAGGCGGCCUUCUGGACUGACACUGACGCUGAGGUGCGAAAGCGUGGGUAGCAAACAGGAUUAGAUACCCCAGUAGUC
rnacentral:rRNA from 1 species